GAUGAAGAAGGCAGCGAAAUGCGAUAAGUAAUGUGAAUUGCAGAAUUCAGUGAAUCAUCGAAUCUUUGAACGCACAUUGCGCCCGUCAGUAUUCUGGCGGGCAUGCCUGUUCGAGCGUCAUUACGCCCCUCAAGUCCCCUGUGGACUUGGUGUUGGGGAUCGGCGAGGCUGGUUUUCCAGCACAGCCGUCCCUUAAAUUAAUUGGCGGUCUCGCCGUGGCCCUCCUCUGCGCAGUAGUAAAACACUCGCAACAGGAGCCCGGCGCGGUCCACUGCCGUAAAACCCCCCAACUUUUUAUAGUUGACCUCGAAUCAGGUAGGACUACCCGCUGAACUUAAGCAUAUCAAUAAGCGGAGGA
rnacentral:misc_RNA from 1 species